rnacentral:rRNA from 1 species
CUAACGCAUUAAGCACUCCGCCUGGGGAGUACGACCGCAAGGUUGAAACUCAAAGGAAUUGACGGGGGCCCGCACAAGCGGUGGAGCAUGUGGUUUAAUUCGAAGCAACGCGAAGAACCUUACCAGGUCUUGACAUCCUUUGACCACUCUGGAGACAGAGCUUUCCCUUCGGGGACAAAGUGACAGGUGGUGCAUGGUUGUCGUCAGCUCGUGUCGUGAGAUGUUGGGUUAAGUCCCGCAACGAGCGCAACCCUUGAUUUUAGUUGCCAGCAUUUAGUUGGGCACUCUAAAGUGACUGCCGGUGCAAGCCGGAGGAAGGUGGGGAUGACGUCAAAUCAUCAUGCCCCUUAUGACCUGGGCUACACACGUGCUACAAUGGAUAGUACAAAGGGUCGCGAAGCCGCGAGGUGGAGCUAAUCCCAUAAAACUAUUCUCAGUUCGGAUUGUAGGCUGCAACUCGCCUACAUGAAGCCGGAAUCGCUAGUAAUCGUGGAUCAGCAUGCCACGGUGAAUACGUUCCCGGGCCUUGUACACAC